rnacentral:rRNA from 1 species
UGCGUAGGCGGUGCGGAAAGUUGGGUGUGAAAGCCCUCGGCUCAACCGAGGAAUUGCGCCCAAAACUACCGUGCUGGAGGAAGAUAGAGGUGAGCGGAACUUAGGGUGGAGCGGUGAAAUGCGUUGAUAUCCUAAGGAACACCAGUAGCGAAAGCGGCUCACUGGGUCUUUUCUGACGCUGAGGCACGAAAGCUAGGGGAGCGAAGAGGAUUAGAUACCCUCGUAGUCCCUAGCCCUAAACAAUGAGCACUGGUUUGGAGGGCCCUCCAUAGCCCUCCAGACGUAGCGAAAGUGUUAAGUGCUCCGCCUGGGGAGUAUGGUCGCGAAGGCUGAA